rnacentral:rRNA from 1 species
UGGGGAAUAUUGCACAAUGGAGGGAACUCUGAUGCAGCGACGCCGCGUGAACGAAGAAGGCUUUCGAGUCGUAAAGUUCUUUCAUAUGGGAAGAUAAUGACGGUACCAUAAGAAAAAGCCCCGGCUAACUACGUGCCAGCAGCCGCGGUAAUACGUAGGGGGCUAGCGUUGUCCGGAAUCACUGGGCGUAAAGGGUUCGCAGGCGGAAAUGCAAGUCAGGUGUAAAAGGCAGUAGCUUAACUACUGUAAGCAUUUGAAACUGCAUAUCUUGAGAAGAGUAGAGGUAAGUGGAAUUUUUAGUGUAGCGGUGAAAUGCGUAGAUAUUAAAAAGAAUACCGGUGGCGAAGGCGACUUACUGGGCUCAUUCUGACGCUGAGGAACGAAAGCGUGGGUAGCAAACA